UAACAAAUAUAUUGAAACUUGGAUCUCUGAGACACCCACAAUAACAACUUGAAUUGAAGCUAGAUUUGGGUUUGAUGGUUCAGUCACUUAGUGUGAAGGCAGUGGAAGUGGGAGGUUAUGGGUGGAAUCUCACAAGAGUGCCAGAAGGAAGAUAUAGAAAGAGGUUGAAGGAGAGGGAUAUGAGGGGGGAUGGGAGGUAGUUUUUAGGGGAGGUAGCUGAAGGGAGAGAAAACAAAGAAGAAAAAACACAGCCGUGGGAGGAAGGGGGACGUGGUAGUGCACGACGAGCGGGAACACCACCCCACAGUCUUCGGUGUCGCAAUGGGAUGAAGAGCUUGUCGUGGCAUUCCUUAUCCAUCCCCUUUCACCCUGUUCCCGAAUUCCCUUAAGGAUGGAAAAGAAAAGAAAGUAAAAGGAAGAAAUGAAAGGAAUAGAAAAGAAAAAGAAAAAGAAAGGAUGUCUUUUCUUCCAUUUCCUUCCAAAUCAGAAUGAAAUGGAAUGAAAGACAAACUAAAGAAUUAGCCUAGUUUUCCUUCCAUUUCUUUUCUUUUCCUUCCUUAAGUGUAACUGGGGAACCUAACGUGUUUGAUUUUCCUUUCUUUUCCUUCCUUAAAUGAAACUCAGAAACACAAACAUAUUUCUAUUUCCUUUCAAUUCCUUUGUUUUUCUUCGUUAAGUGAACUCGGGGUGGUGAUAGGUGACAAUGGCAUCUUAGAGUUAUUUGAUUGGGAUUUAGGAAGGUGUGAAGGUGACGACUGGGGGUGGUGUGUUUGAUGGUUUAACCAAGUCAAUGCUAUUGUAAAAGGGUUACUGAGAACAAUGAGUUUAUUGUUCUGUUAGAAAAUUGGGAUGUUUAAGAGGACUGCCUUUAUGGAUUUAAGUCAUCAUGAAUGUAAUUGAGGUUAUGUGAAGUGAUUUUGAAUGUUAAAUUGACACGAAACUAUUUAACUUUUUAGAACUCUAUAUUGCUUUCUUUUGUUAUCUGAAUGAUAACUUUGUAAUAAAAGCCCUCAAACUUUAUAUUAAGAGUCUAACAGAUAAGUUGAUGUGUCUACUAAUCUUUUCCUCCGAGCAUGCUCACGUUUUAUUGCAAGACUCCCAUUGGAACAUCAACACAGUUAUAUGCAUGUGCAAUAAAUGUUAAGUUAUGUUCUUGACCGUCAAGUAGUUGAGAAUAAUGAAUGUAUUAUGAAGAUUCAGCUGGUUAUGUACUAUUUUCAAUCAGAACUUAUUAUUUAGAACUUUACUGUCCAGGAUCUUUUGAGCUACAUAUAAGAUGUAUGGAGGUAUUAAAGUCAAAUACAACGUGUUUUCUGUAGAUAGGAAUUCUAUUUUGGGAACUAUAUAUUUAUAUGUUAUGUCAUGGUGUCAAGUUUAGUAGAUUUGGAAGGAAAAAAAGAUAG
rnacentral:lncRNA from 1 species